UACAGAGACUGCAAGCGUUAUUCGGAUUCACUGGGCGUAAAGGGUGCGCAGGCGGCCAAGUGUGUUAGGCGUGAAAGCCCGGGGCUUAACCUCGGAAUUGCACCUAAAACUACUUGGCUAGAGCAUUGGAGAGGGUAGCGGAAUUCACGGGUGUAGCAGUGAAAAUGCGUAGAUAUCGUGAGGAACACCAGAGGCGAAGGCGGCUACCUGGACAAUUGCUGACGCUCAGGCACGAAAGCGUGGGGAGCAAAAAGGG
rnacentral:rRNA from 1 species